UGGGGAAUAUUGCACAAUGGGGAAGACCCUGAUGCAGCGACGCCGCGUGAGUGAAGAAGUAUCUCGGUAUGUAAAGCUCUAUCAGCAGGGAAGAAAAUGACGGUACCUGACUAAGAAGCCCCGGCUAACUACGUGCCAGCAGCCGCGGUAAUACGUAGGGGCAAGCGUUAUCCGGAUUUACUGGGUGUAAAGGGAGCGUAGACGGCGGAGCAAGUCUGAAGUGAAAGCCCGGGGCUCAACCCGGACGUGCUUUGGAAACUGUUCUGCUAGAGUGCUGGAGAGGUAAGUGGAAUUCCUAGUGUAGCGGUGAAAUGCGUAGAUAUUAGGAGGAACACCAGUGGCGAAGGCGGCUUACUGGACAGUAACUGACGUUGAGGCUCGAAAGCGUGGGGAGCAAACAGGAUUAGAUACCC
rnacentral:rRNA from 1 species